UACGUAGGGGGCGAGCGUUGUCCGGAUUUAUUGGGCGUAAAGAGCUCGUAGGCGGCUUGGCAAGUCGGGUGUGAAACCUCCAGGCUCAACCUGGAGACGCCACUCGAUACUGCUAUGGCUAGAGUCCGGUAGGGGACCACGGAAUUCCUGGUGUAGCGGUGAAAUGCGCAGAUAUCAGGAGGAACACCGGUGGCGAAGGCGGUGGUCUGGGCCGCAACUGACACUAAUGGACGAAAGCUAGGGGAGCGAAUGGG
rnacentral:rRNA from 1 species